UAAGGAAUAUUGGUCAAUGGACGCAAGUCUGAACCAGCCAUGCCGCGUGCAGGAUGACGGCCCUACGGGUUGUAAACUGCUUUUGUACGGGAAAAAACCUCCGGUCGUGAAUCGGAGCUGAUGGUACCGUAAGAAUAAGCAUCGGCUAACUCCGUGCCAGCAGCCGCGGUAAUACGGAGGAUGCAAGCGUUAUCCGGAUUCAUUGGGUUUAAAGGGUGCGCAGGCGGAAUGAUAAGUCAGUGGUGAAAUCCUACGGCUCAACUGUAGAACUGCCAUUGAUACUGUCGUUCUUGAGUACACUUGGAGUGGGCGGAAUGUGUCAUGUAGUGGUGAAAUGCUUAGAUAUGACACAGAACACCGAUCGCGAAGGCAGCUCACUAAAUUGUAACUGACGCUCAGGCACGAAAGCGUGGGGAUCAAACA
rnacentral:rRNA from 1 species